AGCGAACGCUGGCGGCAGGCCUAACACAUGCAAGUCGAACGAAGUCUUCGGACUUAGUGGCGGACGGGUGAGUAACACGUGGGAACGUGCCUUUAGGUUCGGAAUAACUCAGGGAAACUUGUGCUAAUACCGAAUGUGCCCUUCGGGGGAAAGAUUUAUCGCCUUUAGAGCGGCCCGCGUCUGAUUAGCUAGUUGGUGAGGUAAAGGCUCACCAAGGCUACGAUCAGUAGCUGGUCUGAGAGGAUGACCAGCCACAUUGGGCCUGAGACACGGCCCAAACUCCUACGGGAGGCAGCAGUGGGGAAUCUUGCGCUAUGGGCGAAAGCCUGACGCAGCCAUGCCGCGUGGAUGAUGAAGGUCUUAGGAAUGUAAAAUCCUUUCACCGGUGAGGAUAAUGACUGUAGCCGGAGAAGAAGCCCCGGCUAACUUCGUGCCAGCCGCCGCCGUAACAC
rnacentral:rRNA from 1 species